rnacentral:lncRNA from 1 species
UUCUGUAGAACAAGCGACGACCAUGGACAGAUCCGUCGGUAGCUUCGGGAUUCCAGCAGGGUCACUGAACGUCUUCUUCGUCAGUGCCAUCUUGAUCACCCUAGCGAUCUAUGACAGAGUCAUCAUGCCUGCCAUGAAGAAAUGGAAGGGCAAACAAGGUAAGCUGCAACGCUCGCUUUGAUUCCAUGAACGUUAACAGAUUAGCUGUAAUGCGGGUUUGGACGACAGGCUUCACCAACCUGCAAAGGAUCGGUCUCGGGCUAACCUUAUCCAUCAUGGCCAUGGCGUCGGCGGCGCUCACGGAGGUGAAGAGGCUCUCGGUGGCUCGGGAAGCAGGCAAGGCUGCUGCUCCCAGAGGCGCGGCGCUGCCCAUCAGCGUCUUCACGUUGGUACCGCAGUUCUUUCUCGUGGG